UGAUAAGUUAUCCAUUCAAAUUCAAACAUGCUUUGAAUUUGAAUGGCUAACUAAUUAUUUUAUCCAUCCAUAUGGCACACAAAUGAGGGUGUGGGGAAGGUUUUGCAUGAGAAAAAUUUCACGAGAAGUUUCUUCUCGUGAAUUCAAAUGGGUGCAAGGAAGUUGGGUGUCGCAGAGAAUUUAAAACAAGGUGGUUUGAUUCAAAUUGAGCCAACCUAGUUUAAAAUAGGUUAAGCACAAUUAGACCAGAUUAAACCCAACAUAAUUAGGCUUAAUUAGGCUCAAUAAAAUCUUAAUCAAAUCAGAAAUUAACUAAAUCUAACCUCUGAUCAAAUCAGGGACUAAACCACCUUAGCGAUUAGGUCAACAUUUAACCUAAUCGGGUCAAUCCAAACUGAAUCCAAUUCAAUUGGACUUGAUCCAAAAAUAAUUACUCAAUCAAAUUGAGUUAAUUAGUAAUUAAAUCACUAAUUAAACUUCUCAUAAAUAUUGAGUCCAAAUCCGAUGGGCAAUCAGGCAUCUGAGACCAUCGAUAUGAAACCCUGAUCAAAGAGUUCAAAUUUCAAAUUCAAAAUUUGAAAUUCAAAAUUUUGACCCUGGUACCCAAAAUGUGUGGAACUCAUGAUUAGAGAAUCUUAAUUCUCAAUCAUAAAGUCCCAGAUAGAUAAGACUCAUAAUCAGCCAUCAGAUCAGAAAGGAACCUCUAAUGUGUGUGACCCCGCAGGUUCGAACCUAAACCGGUAGUACAGGAACC
rnacentral:lncRNA from 1 species